rnacentral:rRNA from 1 species
UACAGAGGGUGCGAGCGUUGUCCGGAAUUACUGGGCGUAAAGCGCGCGUAGGCGGUUUUGCAAGCCAGAGGUGCAAUGCCUGAGCUCAACUCAGGAAUUGCCUUUGGGACUGCGAGGCUUUGAGGACUGGAGAGGUGAGUGGAAUUCCCAGUGUAGAGGUGAAAGUCGUAGAUAUUGGGAAGAACACCGGUGGCGAAGGCGGCUCACUGGCCAGUUUCUGACGCUGCAGCGCGAAAGCGUGGGGAUCAAACAGG